rnacentral:rRNA from 1 species
GACGAACGCUGGCGGCGUGCCUAAUACAUGCAAGUCGAACGCAGUGGGGACGGGUGAGAAACACGUGGGUAACCUUGCAUCAGAGGGGAUAACAGUUGGUAACAGGGGCUAAACUUAAACUGAUGGAUGGACUCGCGGUGCAUUAGCUAGUUGGUGAGGCAACGGCACACCAAGGCAACGAUGCAUAGCCGACCUGAGAGGGUGAUCGGCAACACUGGAACUGAGACACGGUCCAGACUCCUACGGGAGGCAGCAGUAGGGAAUCUUCAGAAAUGGGCGAAAGCCUGACCGAGCAACGCCGCGUGAGUGAAGAAGGUUUUCGGAUCGUAAAACUCUGUUGUUAGAGAAGCGGUAUCUAACCAGAAAGCCACGGCUAACUACGUGCCAGCAGCCGCGGUAAUUC